UACUAGGGGGGCGAGCGUUGUUCGGAAUCACUGGGCGUAAAGAGUGCGUAGGCGGUUAUGAAAGUUAGGAGUGAAAGCCCAGGGCUCAACCUUGGAAUUGCUCUUAAUACUACAUAACUCGAAUUCGGGACAGGAUAGCGGAAUUCUCAGUGUAGCAGUGAAAUGCGUAGAUAUUGAGAGGAACACCAGUGGCGUAAGCGGCUAUCUGGACCGACAUUGACGCUGAGGCACGAAAGCGUGGGGAUCAAACAGG
rnacentral:rRNA from 1 species